rnacentral:rRNA from 1 species
AGUGAACGCUGGCGGUGGGCCUAACACAUGCCAGUUGAACGGCAGCACAGUAAGAGCUUGCUCUUACGGGUGGCGAGUGGCGGACGGGUGAGGAAUACAUCGGAAUCUACUUUUUCGUGGGGGAUAACGUAGGGAAACUUACGCUAAUACCGCAUACGACCUACGGGUGAAAGCAGGGGAUCUUCGGACCUUGCGCGAUUGAAUGAGCCGAUGUCGGAUUAGCUAGUUGGCGGGGUAAAGGCCCACCAAGGCGACGAUCCGUAGCUGGUCUGAGAGGAUGAUCAGCCACACUGGAACUGAGACACGGUCCAGACUCCUACGGGAGGCAGCAGUGGGGAAUAUUGGACAAUGGGCGCAAGCCUGAUCCAGCCAUACCGCGUGGGUGAAGAAGGCCUUCGGGUUGUAAAGCCCUUUUGCUGGGAAAGAAAAGCAGCAGGUUAAUACCCCGCUGUUCUGACGGUACCCAAAGAAUAAGCACCGGCUAACUUCGUG